ensembl:lncRNA
AAGAGAUAUUUAGUUUUUUUUUUCAACAAGCGUUUUACUGACGCAACACUAAGAAAAGUUAUACUAAAUACGGGCCCUCAGGACAUGCCUGUUGUCUGCUCAUAUGACUCAGCUGGAACUAGCUGGUAUAGAAUAGCGUUUAGGCACAGACUGGGAUAUUUCUGAACCGUGUUCAAAGUGUUACAUCAAUCCCCACUCUUUGUCAUUUAACAACUGUGGCUUCUGACGCUUCUGCAAAUCUCGCUUUUACCUCAUUAGUUGUGGUGUAAUUUGAUGAGCUUCAGCUUCAGCUUCAGCUUCAGCUCACCGAGAUGAUGUAAUGCCAUCCAGGUCAUCCACGCUGUGGGUGAUUGAGCACUAGCCUGUCUCAUGGUAGCCUGCACACAUCACCGUUCUCCGGCCCCCUUUCUCGCAUCCCUCGUUUAUUAUGCGGACGUCAGCUUUUAAUCAGCUUUUUGAUCUGGGCAAGUUGGCGAUUAGACCGUAAGGAUGUUCCGCUGAUGUUUCACGCCAGUAAGGCCAGAGGCCCUGAAAUAUGAGGCUGGACAUUGACAAGAGAUUGGUGUUGGCUAUCACUUCAGCAGGAAAUAUGCCUCACAAGCACAAAGGUACCCUGUUAGUCUAUAAUGCAGUGAUUUGAGGUUAUCUUCAAGGCAAAGUAAGCACUAUAUAUAUUGCCAUCUUUUGGCUUUUCUUCAUCUUUUUAUUAGCAGUUGGUAACCUAUAUUACAAUAUUAUCAGCAGUUACAGUAACAUAUAUUAUAAUAUGAUCAGCAGUAACAGUAACAUACAUUAUAAUAUGAUCAGCAGUAACAGUAACAUACAUUAUAAUAUGAUCAGCAGUUACAGUAACAUAUAUUAUAAUAUGAUCAGCAGUAACAGUAACAUAUAUUAUAAUAUGAUCAGCAGCCUUCUGGUGAGAGUGAUUAUUUGAACCCCUCUGACUUGAGGGCCCUUUUUGCAGGGAAUUUUUAUCGAAUUUUUCUAAUGUUAUAUUUUAGUUCUUAAACUAUGGCAUCAAAUUUCAAUGAAGUACGUGCCGUAGCUGUGCCGUAACUGUGCCCGACAGCAACGCUUGGGUUCUAAUUCUGCAGGACCGCACAAGCCCCUGUGCUUCCACCUUCGCCUUCCCUCGCCACAGCAACCGUAGUAAACGCACGUAAAUCGAACGCCCUGCGAAGUAGCGCCUGCGUCUCCCUGACCUGCCGUCAUUAGUGGCAGCCAGGCAACAACACCGUGCCCUGAGCCUCGCCCUUGUUUGUCGUUGCUGAGAAAUGAAACCUUACAAACUUAAAGACAUCUCGGUGCAGCCUGCGCACCAAGUAGCCUGAUUUAUAGCCCACAGUUAAUCUUAACAACAACCAAGCUAGUCUGGUGAAAAAUAGCCUUAUCAAUGAAAAUGCAUAUAUAGAAAAUAAAUAGCAAAUGUAGAUAACACGGCUAAUACACUGUGGGAUCAUAUUUGGAUGUCAAACAUUAGUCUGACUAUCACCCCUUUCCUGUGGAGCGAUGAUAGAGCUGUAGCCAUGUUUCAAGGACAUGUUCAGUGUGAUCAGUAUUAAAGGCGUGUUAAGCUAUAGUCAAGGACAUGUUCAGUGUGAUCAGUAUUAAAGGCUAUAGCUCAUAGGCCUACUUAAAACGAUACAUAGAUGGAUGAUGUGCUACUGUAGGUAACUUAAUUUUUCCAUAAAUAACUAUAGAUUGCCCUUCUUUUGUUUUUAGCUUGAGCCCCUGCGCCC